GGGAAGAGCAGCUUUAUGUGACAGUUUUUAAAUUCUGGCAACACGGCAAGAAAGGAUGGCUUUGCAGAAGCGAGCGUGUCACAAACUGUCAGCGCCUGGGAAGCCAAGUGCACAAUCGCAGACAAGCAGUCACCAGCGAAGGAAUGUCAGCCACUUACCAAGGAGACGCCAGGCUCCUCCGUCCUUCCUCCGCGCCUCUCAAUUCCCGUCUGCCAUCCUCCUGCCCGUCGGCACAGCUCAGACAAGAGCCCAGGCUCAGGUGCACCCCAGCCUGUGGCAGGAGACCAACUGCGGAGUUUCGAGUCCUUCACAGAGAAUCCUCCAGCUCGCCCGGCCGCUCCCUGAGGAGGGCACGCAGAGUACAUCAUGAGAAAUGCUGGGCUGGAAGAAACACAAGCUGGAAUCAAGAUUGCAGGGAG
ensembl:lncRNA